rnacentral:rRNA from 1 species
GACGAACGCUGGCGGCGUGCUUAACACAUGCAAGUCGAACGGAAACGCCCUGCUUUUGUGGGGUGCUCGAGUGGCGAACGGGUGAGUAACACGUGAGUAACCUGCCCUUGACUUUGGGAUAACUUCAGGAAACUGGGGCUAAUACCGGAUAGGAGCUCCUGCUGCAUGGUGGGGGUUGGAAAGUUUCGGCGGUUGGGGAUGGACUCGCGGCUUAUCAGCUUGUUGGUGGGGUAGUGGCUUACCAAGGCUUUGACGGGUAGCCGGCCUGAGAGGGUGACCGGCCGCAUUGGGACUGAGAUACGGCCCAGACUCCUACGGGAGGCAGCAGUGGGGAAUAUUGCACAAUGGGCGGAAGCCUGAUGCAGCAACGCCGCGUGCGGGAUGACGGCCUUCGGGUUGUAAACCGCUUUCGCCUGUGACGAAGCGUGAGUGACGGUAAUGGGUAAAGAAGCACCGGCUAACUACGUG